UACGUAGGUGGCAAGCGUUGUCCGGAUUUACUGGGCGUAAAGAGCGCGCAGGCGGUCGUUCAAGUCGCGUGUGAAAGCCCCUGGCUCAACUGGGGAGGGUCACGCGAUACUGAUCGACUCGAAGGCAGGAGAGGGUAGUGGAAUUCCCGGUGUAGUGGUGAAAUGCGUAGAUAUCGGGAGGAACACCAGUGGCGAAGGCGACUACCUGGCCUGUUCUUGACGCUGAGGCGCGAAAGCUAGGGGAGCAAACGGGG
rnacentral:rRNA from 1 species